UACGAAGGGGGCUAGCGUUGUUCGGAAUCACUGGGCGUAAAGGGCGCGUAGGCGGCCGUUCAAGUCGGGGGUGAAAGCCUGUGGCUCAACCACAGAAUUGCCUUCGAUACUGUACGGCUCGAGACCGGAAGAGGUAAGUGGAACUGCGAGUGUAGAGGUGAAAUUCGUAGAUAUUCGCAAGAACACCAGUGGCGAAGGCGGCUUACUGGUCCGGUUCUGACGCUGAGGCGCGAAAGCGUGGGGAGCAAACAGG
rnacentral:rRNA from 1 species